GAAUUCGCCCUUAGAGUUUGAUCCUGGCUCAGGACGAACGCUGGCGGCGUGCUUAACACAUGCAAGUCGAACGAGGAUCGGAAGGGAGCUUGCUCCCGUCUGAUUCGAGUGGCGGACGGGUGAGUAACGCGUGAACAAUCUGUCUCAUACAGGGGGAUAACGCAUCGAAAGAUGUGCUAAUACCGCGUAGGACCACGCUGGGGCAUCCCAGAGAGGUGAAAGGAGCAAUCCGGUAUGAGGUGAGUUCGCGUCUGAUUAGAUAGUUGGUGAGGUAAAGGCUCACCAAGUCAACGAUCAGUAGCCGACCUGAGAGGGUGACCGGCCACAUUGGGACUGAGACACGGCCCAGACUCCUACGGGAGGCAGCAGUGGGGAAUAUUGGGCAAUGGGCGAAAGCCUGACCCAGCAACGCCGCGUGAAGGAAGAAGGUUUUCGGAUCGUAAACUUCUGUCCUAUAUGAAGAUAAUGACGGUAGUAUAGGAGGAAGCCCCGGCUAACUACGUGCCAGCAGCCGCGGUAAUACGUAGGGGGCGAGCGUUGUCCGGAAUGAUUGGGCGUAAAGGGCGCGUAGGCGGCCGGAUAAGUCUGGAGUGAAAGUCCUGUUUUCAAGAUGGGAAUUGCUUUGGAUACUGUCAGGCUUGAGUGCAGGAGAGGUUAUCGGAAUUCCCGGUGUAGCGGUGAAAUGCGUAGAGAUCGGGAGGAACACCAGUGGCGAAGGCGGGUAACUGGACUGCAACUGACGCUGAGGCGCGAAAGUGUGGGGAGCAAACAGGAUUAGAUACCCUGGUAGUCCACACUGUAAACGAUGAAUGCUAAGUGUAAGAGGUAUCGACCCC
rnacentral:rRNA from 1 species